rnacentral:rRNA from 1 species
GAGCCGGAGGGAAACCGAGUCUUAAUUGGGCGUUAAGUUGCAGGGUAUAGACCCGAAACCCGGUGAUCUAGCCAUGGGCAGGUUGAAGGUUGGGUAACACUAACUGGAGGACCGAACCGACUAAUGUUGAAAAAUUAGCGGAUGACCUGUGGCUGGGGGUGAAAGGCCAAUCAAACCGGGAGAUAGCUGGUUCUCCCCGAAAGCUAUUUAGGUAGCGCCUCGUGAAUUCAUCUCCGGGGGUAGAGCACUGUUUCGGCUAGGGGGCCAUCCCGGCUUACCAACCCGAUGCAAACUGCGAAUACCGGAGAAUGUUAUCACGGGAGACACACGGCGGGUGCUAACGUCCGUCGUGAAGAGGGAAACAACCCAGACCGCCAGCUAAGGUCCCAAAGUCAUGGUUAAGUGGGAAACGAUGUGGGAAGGCCCAGACAGCCAGGAUGUUGGCUUAGAAGCAGCCAUCAUUUAAAGAAAGCGUAAUAGCUCACUGGUCGAGUCGGCCUGCGCGGAAGAUGUAACGGGGCUAAACCAUGCACCGAAGCUGCGGCAGCGAACGUAUCACUUAAAGCGAUUCAGCGGGUUACGAUUGACGGAGCGAAGCGACGUCAAAGCGUAUACAAAGUCGAGUCGGUUUA